AUGUAAAAUACAUUCAGGGGCUGUUUGUUUGGUCCAAAAACCAUAGAAAAAGACCCCUAGAAAACUGACAGAGGGUAUUUUUCAUAAUUUCCUUCAUAAUCAGGUGUUUGUUUUGCAAAAGAUAAAAAGGAAAGUGAGGGAAAGAUGUUGCGCCAGCUAGAUAUUUUCCCCAUAAAAUUUUCUCCUAUUUUGAAGCCGAUUACGGAAGAAAAGUGCACUUUUCUCUCUCUGUCCGAAUCUAGGGCUCUCGAAAUUUUUUUCUCCGCUGCACCGCAACUUGUUUUGGUCACGUCCUCUCUCGGAUCAUGCACAUCCUCUCGUCCACCUUCCCUCUCGCCGUGAAAAGCCCCUCGUCCGCCUUCUCUCCCGCCGUGCAAAGCACACCGACGAGCUGACCCCAGAAAUUUCUCUCACCUCUCUCUCUUGGAUCCCCAAAACCCUAACCCUAUUUCCCAAUUGCUGCUUGGAAUUCAAUUGGAAUUGAUCCUCUAGGUAUAUCAUCAUAUUUUACUAUGGCAGACAAACCAAGAUUUCCAGGAUCGAGGUGAUGCUGCAGGUUCAGCUCCUAUAGAACACAAUGGUGUUCCACUGGAGACUGGACAAUGACAUAGAUAUCGCAGUUGAGUUUGAAGAGGAUGAGGAGGAAGAAGAGAGCGAUUAUGGUCAGAUACAUCUCUUAACGAUUUGGCUAAUUCAGAAUACUAUUCGAAAAUUUAAAUAUUUUUAUACGACGGUUGAUAUAUGUUUACCUCUCAAUUUAUGUUGGAAAUAAAUUAUCCUAUAAGAGUAGUAAGCACACCAUGAUGACCAUAGUCAUGGUUUCUUU